AUUGAACGCUGGCGGCAGGCCUAACACAUGCAAGUCGAGCGGAUGAAGGGAGCUUGCUCCUGGAUUCAGCGGCGGACGGGUGAGUAAUGCCUAGGAAUCUGCCUGGUAGUGGGGGAUAACGUCCGGAAACGGGCGCUAAUACCGCAUACGUCCUGAGGGAGAAAGUGGGGGAUCUUCGGACCUCACGCUAUCAGAUGAGCCUAGGUCGGAUUAGCUAGUUGGUGGGGUAAAGGCCUACCAAGGCGACGAUCCGUAACUGGUCUGAGAGGAUGAUCAGUCACACUGGAGCUGAGACACGGUCCAGACUCCUACGGGAGGCAGCAGUGGGGAAUAUUGGACAAUGGGCGGAAGCCUGAUCCAGCCAUGCCGCGUGUGUGAAGAAGGUCUUCGGAUUGUAAAGCACUUUAAGUUGGGGGGAAGGGCAGUAAGUUAAUACCUUGCUGUUUUGACGGUACCAACAGAAUAAGCACCGGCUAACUUCGUG
rnacentral:rRNA from 1 species